rnacentral:piRNA from 1 species
UGUAAAGUCCAGGAUAAGCAUACCUUACA